rnacentral:rRNA from 1 species
UACGGAGGGUGCGAGCGUUGUUCGGAUUUAUUGGGCGUAAAGCGCGUGUAGGCGGUCUUUUAAGUCUGAUGUGAAAGCCCCGGGCUCAACCUGGGAAGUGCAUUGGAUACUGGAAGACUUGAGUACGGGAGAGGGUAGUGGAAUUCCCAGUGUAGGAGUGAAAUCCGUAGAUAUUGGGAGGAACACCGGUGGCGAAGGCGGCUGCCUGGACCGAUACUGACGCUGAGACGCGAAAGCGUGGGGAGCAAAC